rnacentral:rRNA from 1 species
UACGUAGGUGGCGAGCGUUAUCCGGAAUUACUGGGCGUAAAGGGUGUGUAGGCGGGACUGCAAGUCAGAUGUGUAAAUUACGGGCUUAACCUGUAAACUGCAUUUGAAACUGUGGUUCUUGAGAGCCGGAGGGGUAAAUGGAAUUCCCAGUGUAGCGGUGAAAUGCGUAGAUAUUGGGAGGAACACCAGUGGCGAAGGCGAUUUACUGGACGGCAACUGACGCUGAGACACGAAAGUGUGGGGAGCAAACAGG